AUAUACGACCGUACCGCAAACCGACACUGGUGCGCGAGAUGAGUAUUCUAAGGCGCUUGAGAGAACUCAGGAGAAGGAGCUCGGCAAAUUGACACCGUAACUUCGGAAGAAGGUGUGCCCUAUUAGUGUGUAGUGAACAACGAAGCAUGAAUGGGUUGCAAAAAAUCGGUGGCUGCGACUGUUUAUUAAAAACACAGCACUCUGCAAACACGAAAGUGUACGUAUAGGGUGUGACGCCUGCCCGGUGCUGGAAGAUUAAAUGAUGGGGUGCAAGCUCUUGAUUGAAGUCCCAGUAAACGGCGGCCGUAACAAUAACGGUCCUAAGGUAGCGAAAUUCCUUGUCGGGUAAGUUCCGACCUGCACGAAUGGCGUAACGAUGGCCACACUGUCUCCUCCUGAGACUCAGCGAAGUUGAAAUGUUUGCGAUGAUGCAAUCACCCCGCGGAAAGACGGAAAGACCCCAUGAACCUUUACUGUAGCUUUGUAUUGGACUUUGAACAGAUCUGUGUAGGAUAGGUGGGAGGCUUUGAAGCAGGGUCGCUAGAUCUUGUGGAGCCAACGUUGAAAUACCACCCUGGUGUGUUUGAGGUUCUAACCUAGGUUCAUUAUCUGGAUCGGGGACAGUGCAUGGUAGGCAGUUUGACUGGGGCGGUCUCCUCCCAAAGCGUAACGGAGGAGUUCGAAGGUACGCUAGUUACGGUCGGACAUCGUGACGAUAGUGCAAUGGCAUAAGCGUGCUUAACUGCGAGACUGACAAGUCGAGCAGAUGCGAAAGCAGGACAUAGUGAUCCGGUGGUUCUGUAUGGAAGGGCCAUCGCUCAACGGAUAAAAGGUACUCUGGGGAUAACAGGCUGAUACCGCCCAAGAGUUCAUAUCGACGGCGGUGUUUGGCACCUCGAUGUCGGCUCAUCUCAUCCUGGGGCUGUAGCCGGUCCCAAGGGUAUGGCUGUUCGCCAUUUAAAGAGGUACGUGAGCUGGGUUUAAAACGUCGUGAGACAGUUUGGUCCCUAUCUUCCGUGGGCGCUGCAGAUUUGAGGAAGCCUGCUCCUAGUACGAGAGGACCGGAGUGGACACACCUCUGGUGUAUCGGUUGUCACGCCAGUGGCAUUGCCGAGUAGCUAAGUGUGGAAGAGAUAACCGCUGAAAGCAUCUAAGCGGGAAACUCGUUUCAAGAUGAGAUCUGCCGGGGCCUUGAGCCCCCUAAAGAGUCGUUCAAGACCAGGACGUUGAUAGGUCAGGUGUGGAAGUG
rnacentral:rRNA from 1 species